rnacentral:rRNA from 1 species
UACAGAGGGUGCAAGCGUUGUUCGGAAUUAUUGGGCGUAAAGGGCGCGUAGGCGGCGUUUUUAAGUCGGGGGUGAAAGCCUGUGGCUCAACCACAGAAUGGCCUCGAUACUGGGACGCUUGAGUAUGGUAGAGGUUGGUGGAACUGCGAGUGUAGAGGUGAAAUUCGUAGAUAUUCGCAAGAACACCAGUGGCGAAGGCGGCUCACUGGCCCGAUACUGACGCUGAGGCACGAAAGCGUGGGGAGCAAACAGG